rnacentral:rRNA from 1 species
UACGUAGGUGGCAAGCGUUGUCCGGAUUUACUGGGCGUAAAGAGCGCGCAGGCGGUCGUUCAAGUCGCGUGUGAAAGCCCCCGGCUCAACUGGGGAGGGUCACGCGAUACUGAUCGACUCGAAGGCAGGAGAGGGGAGUGGAAUUCCCGGUGUAGUGGUGAAAUGCGUAGAUAUCGGGAGGAACACCAGUGGCGAAGGCGACUACCUGGCCUGUUCUUGACGCUGAGGCGCGAAAGCUAGGGGAGCAAACAGG